UGCUUCUAUUAUAUUACAUUCCAAGUUCAAAGUGCAAACCAAAACACAAAAAAGGAAAUUGUUGUUGGAGACUUUUCCUUGGAAACAAAACAUAGCACCACAAACCUUGUGUUCUUCUAACCAGCCAAAUCAUAGAAUUUUUUUUGAUGGGAAAGGGUCCUUGUUACAACGGAUAAAGGGAACAUAGCAAGGGGAGAACCUUGUAAACAAAUGGUCAGCCAGACGCAAAUCCAUCUCCAUUACAAAAACAUAAUGGAAGCAAAUAAGAUUUGCAAAACCAAGUAGAGUCAGAGCACUCUUGCUCUCUAUGAUUUUUAGUUCUAAUGACACAGCAGAGAGCAAAACCACAAAGAAACGAAAGAAAAAUCAUGGAGAAACAAGAAUGAAAAUUAAAGAAGAGCCAAAGAAGGAACUUACUUUUAUCAAGAUACACCACAUUCGUGAUCCAAAAAAUUUUACCUCCAUUUCAGUUUGAUUAGGACAUUUUACACCUGAAAUAGAGGUUACUCCACUCCCCCAUCCAAUGUACAGGCACAAUCCCCACACAUAAUACAACAACUAAGUUUCAAUUCCAAACUAGUUUGAAUAAGCUCGUAUGGACUCUUUUUCUCUAUUAACUUUGUUAGGCACUCACAUAACAGAAGCAAAAUCGUCAACUUCUGUCAAGCUCCAAACUUCCUAUUAUUUUUAGCUUGUCGUCUUGCAAUCCAAUAAUCACGAUUGCGAGUAUCAAGAUUGCUGUUGGGAUUCUUUGUUCAUGGUUCAGCAGUCCGCCCCAAGGCUUUAACAUUUCAACAUUGACACAAUCGAUUUAAUGGAGGACAUCAUCAACUCCAGAAGUACAAACAUACUUCCAAGUUCCAACUUCAUUGACACAAAGCAUUUCACUAAUAUCAUGAAAGGUCACGGCUUUUCAUAGACCCGUCCAAAAGACAAGGAGAAAUUUGGAGCAAGAGUUUAAUUGUGUAGCUUUGAGAUGAUUGGCAUAUGUCAAUACACUCCUUCAAAUCAUCAUCACAUGUUAAUAAGACCCAAUCAGAGUCAUCAUCCAAGUACUUCAGAUCAUAUUUAUGUAUGUCAUCUAUAUUAAAUCGUCUUGCAAUUUCUUGCAAUAGAUCUUCAAGUUCCCAAUUGUUUGGCAUGCGAAACCUGAUUUUCUCAUUUCCACAUGUGACUUUCACUCUCUGAGCAUCGAUCUCUUGAGAUAUCCUGUUGCUCUUUUUAGCUAAUGGCGGAAGCUUUCCCAAAUCAGGCUGUUCACAAAGAGAUUUAUGGCUUCGAGAUCUUGGCAGCAGGUUUUGUUCUGCUUGAAUAGAGGCAUGCAGCUCUGCAUCACUUCUGACCCUCUUUAACACACAAUUACCUGAGUUUUCUCCAAGCAUAGGAUCUCUGCUGGUGGGAAUGGUGAAUGCAGAUGCGUGUUGCUGUGUCCCACUAGAAAAACAAUGGCUUGAACUGGAACUCUGACUGCAUGAGGAAGAGGGUGAUUUCGGUGCAGUCACCUGGGAGCGGAAAAUACCUCCCUCAGGCUGUAUGCUUGAUGACUCUGGAUGAUCAAGCUGCUUUGAGGUUGAAAAUGGAUUGCUUCUUGAUAAAUUUGAGGAGGCCAGCUCAGGAAAUUUUGUAUAAAAGGAAUCAAUCUGAAAAGCACCAGAGGCACCUUCGACUGAGUCAAUCACAACCUGGAGUUUCUUUAAGGAGUGGCCAACCUUCUUGAUUUUUCGAGAAGGCCAUCGUUUUAUUCCAUGUUGCCUACAUAUUCUUUUCAAGGUUGUGGGGCACACUGAAAUUAAAGGAAGACAAGAACAAAAAAGUUGUUUAAAGUUAAAAACGAACAUGACAAAAAUUGCAGACUCAAACAGAUUCAGUAGCUUUAUUAAACUUAAUGAAAAGCUUAUUUUAGAGAAAGCCUAACCCUUUGACAUUUUUGCAUAAAAUGACUGCUCCCAGGGCAUAUGCUUUUGGUUGCAUGCCUAUGAUAUUUGCCACUACAGAUAAAAAAUGCCCCUUAAUAUUCUAUACUAUUAUUUACAGACAACUUGUUCCCAAUUGUUAUACGCAUGAUUCAGCUAAUGAAGUAUACUUUGCAGCAGAAUUACAAAAAUUGCAUAGGCAGUGUGUAUAAUUUUCUGUUAGGUUGUUCAAAUGAAUGCAUUACCUCUAUUUGAAGCAUCUAAAAUAAAAAGGAAUAUUUGCAUAUUUUCACCCCCCAAAUGCCAAGCAAUUAGUAAAUUACAAGUAAACUCUAUACCAAUGAUGCUUACCACCAAUGCUUUUUGCAGCAUCUUUUAAGCUUCCAGCAAAAUAUUGCUGAAGAACUUGCAAGGUGAUUGCUUUCUCUGCCCUGGUUCGUCUUUUCUCUCUUGUUCUACCUACACAGACGCUUGAAAAGCUACCUUCAGCAACUGCAGAAUCACCACCACAUUCAACACUCACCUUUAGACUAUAAUCUUCUUGAUUUUGCCUGCGGCCCACAGAAUUUUUAUGUAUUAAUACCUUUUGCUUCUCUUCUUGACAUGAUGAGACAACACUUCCACUUUGUUGGAUCCCUGUGAAACGGUCACUCCAGGAUAAAUGAUCUCCACCAUAGCUUUCAGAGUUGGGCUGUGUCACCCUUAACAUCUCUUCUCUGGGAGGUGUACCAUAUGAAGGGGCUAAAACUUCACUAAUUGGCAAGUCAGUUUCCUCUAGCUCCUUGUCUGCUAUUACCCGUAAGGACCGGCAGACCUGUUGUAUAAUGAUGGACAAUGAAGUAAGCAUUUUCUUCUGUUUUUCAGGAUCUGUGCAAUCCGCAGGCAAAAAGAACUCCAGCACAAAGUCAGCUCUACCAGUGUGCACACUUCUUAGGCGAAUUGCAACAGCAGCAUGCAACCCAAACAUCCUUGCAUGGUGAGAAAGAGGAUACUCAGUUUUGCCAUAUGAAGUUAUGUCACUUGUGAAGCAAGGUUGGUUAGUAAAAAAUGCUUCCCCAGCAACUCCUUGACCUUUCAACAAGUGAUGCUCAGAGCAAGCCUCGUGAAAAGCCUGGACACCAGUGUCAUGUACAUAGCAAGCAAGAUCCACAGUGGAAACACAACGAUGGUAGUUUUCAUCUGAAUGUCGGCACCCUCCCUUGCCUUGCUGGAUGCAUGGAACCCAAGUCUGAGCUAAGGGCAAUUUAUGCGUCUCACAAGCAGAUCUCAGAACCUCAUGAAUCUCAGGUAAUACAGCCUGGUAGGACAUAUCACACACCUUUACAUGAUGCAAGCUUGGAGCUUCAGAACUCUGAAGAUCAACUGCCUUAAGUGCCUUGCAAAC
rnacentral:misc_RNA from 1 species